rnacentral:lncRNA from 1 species
CAGCAAGGGGUGGAUCCAGUUAAUUUUGCUUCAGAAUCUGCAGGCCUGCGAUAGGCGAUGGCAGGACCACAGCUGUUCAGACUCAGAGUGCCUUGGACUCACAGCAGGAAGCAGAGACACUUAGAGGGGCUGCCCCAUGGUCAAUGCCACGGCCCUGGGGAUUUUCUCCUCAAGAGCUGUGAGUCGCUGUGGCAACCACAUUUCCCAAAGCUCCUCUCAAGGCAGAGAGACUAUUUUAGGAACUUACCUGAACUCUCUGGAAUAAUGGUCACCUACUUCUGGGAGAUGGUGAUGCUAAUUCUAUUUUAUGCGGGACAACACAGAGGCAGUGAAAAGGUACCCAAAAUCUCAAAGAAGUGGGAGCAAAAGAUUUAAAUUGAACAUCAGCAAUGAAGAAAAGCUUAAAUUCAGACCAGGAACAAAUGUAUAUAGGCCUGAAUGUGCUGUAAUCCUUGGAGAACAAUGGAAAUUAUCCUGGAUUUUAAAAAGUAUAUGAAUGAACAAUGAUCAAGAAGGGGAAAAAAAAUU